GCAAACUUGGUCAUUUAGAGGAAGUAAAAGUCGUAACAAGGUUUCCGUAGGUGAACCUGCGGAAGGAUCAUUACUGAGUGAUUUGGGGCGGCUCUGAACUGUUGUUCAGACGUUGGCCCCGGUUACCCGACCUUAUGUCAUGAGCACGGACCUGCGUUGCGCGGCGGCCUCAGGGCCCGGCCGGCGCGUAGGGACGAGAGCAUAUUUCCGCCGAGGUGGCGCGUAGCCCCCGCCGGAGCCAGGUAACUGGUUUUUUUGGCGGGGUGUUUUCGCGCCCGCGGCGGGCCGACAAGGCUUUUCGACUCUUUGAGAAUGUGAAGUCAGAAAAAAAGGUCAGAUAUUGACCAAAACGAAGCAAAACUUUCAACAACGGAUCUCUUGGCUCUGGCAUCGAUGAAGAACGCAGC
rnacentral:misc_RNA from 1 species